UACAGAGGGUGCGAGCGUUAAUCGGAAUUACUGGGCGUAAAGCGCACGUAGGCGGCUUGGUAUGUCGGGUGUGAAAUCCCCGGGCUCAACCUGGGAACUGCAUCCGAAACUGCCUUGCUCGAGUAUGGGAGAGGGAAGUGGAAUUUCCGGUGUAGCGGUGAAAUGCGUAGAUAUCGGAAGGAACAUCAGUGGCGAAGGCGGCUCACUGGACUGGUAUUGACGCUGAGGUGCGAAAGCGUGGGGAGCAAACAGG
rnacentral:rRNA from 1 species